UCUGGAAACGGAUGCUAAUACCGCAUAUACCCUGAGGGGGAAAGAUUUAUCGCUUUAAGAUUGGCCCAUGGCAGAUUAGGUAGUUGGUGGGGUAAAGGCCUACCAAGCCGACGAUCUGUAGCUGGUCUGAGAGGACGAUCAGCCACAUUGGGACUGAGACACGGCCCAGACUCCUACGGGAGGCAGCAGUGAGGAAUAUUGGGCAAUGGGGGCAACCCUGACCCAGCCAUGCCGCGUGAGUGAAGAAGGUUUUCGAAUUGUAAAGCUCUUUCGGAUGUGACGAUGAUGACGGUAGCAUCUAAAGAAGCCCCGGCAAACUUCGUGCCAGCAGCCGCGGUAAUACGAAGGGGGCGAGCGUUGUUCGGAAUUACUGGGCGUAAAGGGUGUGUAGGUGGACGUGUAAGAUAGCGGUGAAAUGCCGGAGCUCAACUUCGGAAUUGCCAUUAUAACUAUGCGUCUAGAAUUAUAGAGAGGAUAGCGGAAUACCCAGUGUAGAGGUGAAAUUCGUAGAUAUUGGGUAGAACACCAGUGGCGAAGGCGGCUAUCUGGCUAUAUAUUGACACUGAGGCACGAAAGCAUGGGGAUCAAACAGGAUUAGAUACCCUGGUAGUCCAUGCCGUAAACGAUGAAUGCUGGUUGUCGGACGAAUGUUCGGUGACGAAGUUAACGCGAUAAGCAUUCCGCCUGGGGA
rnacentral:rRNA from 1 species